rnacentral:rRNA from 1 species
UUUUAUGGAGAGUUUGAUCCUGGCUCAGGAUGAACGCUGGCGGCGUGCCUAAUACAUGCAAGUCGAGCGAACGGACGAGAAGCUUGCUUCUCUGAUGUUAGCGGCGGACGGGUGAGUAACACGUGGAUAACCUACCUAUAAGACUGGGAUAACUUCGGGAAACCGGAGCUAAUACCGGAUAAUAUUUUGAACCGCAUGGUUCAAAAGUGAAAGACGGUCUUGCUGUCACUUAUAGAUGGAUCCGCGCUGCAUUAGCURGUUGGUAAGGUAACGGCUUACCAAGGCAACGAUGCAUAGCCGACCUGAGAGGGUGAUCGGCCACACUGGAACUGAGACACGGUCCAGACUCCUACGGGAGGCAGCAGUAGGG